AUACGUAGGGUGCAAGCGUUAAUCGGAAUUACUGGGCGUAAAGCGUGCGCAGGCGGUUUUGUAAGUGAGAGGGGAAAUUCCCGGGCUCAAUCUGGGAACUGCCUUUGUGACUGCAAGGCUUGAGUACGGCAGAGGGGGGUGGAAUUCCGCGUGGAGGAGGGAAAUGCGUAGAUAUGCGGAGGAACACCGAUGGCGAAGGCAAUCCCCUGGGCCUGUACUGACGCUCAUGCACGAAAGCGUGGGGAGCAAACAGGAUUAGAUACCCUGGUAGUCCACGCCCUAAACGAUGUCAACUGGUUGUUGGGGCUUCAAUGACUCAGAAACGAAGCUAACGCGUGAAGUUGACCGCCUGGGGAGUACGGCCGCAAGGUUGAAACACAAAGGAAUUGACGGGG
rnacentral:rRNA from 1 species